UACGUAGGGAGCAAGCGUUGUCCGGAAUCAUUGGGCGUAAAGAGCGUGUAGGCGGCCCGGUAAGUCGGUUGUGAAAGUCAAGGGCUCAACCCUUGAAUGCCGACCGAUACUGUCGGGCUAGAGUCCGGAAGAGGCGAGUGGAAUUCCUGGUGUAGCGGUGAAAUGCGCAGAUAUCAGGAGGAACACCGAUGGCGAAGGCAGCCUUCUGGGCCAACACUGACGCUCAUGCACGAAAGCGUGGGGAGCAAACAGG
rnacentral:rRNA from 1 species